rnacentral:rRNA from 1 species
CAGCCGCCGCGGUAAUACGUAGGGUGCAAGCGUUGUCCGGAAUUAUUGGGCGUAAAGAGCUCGUAGGCGGUCUGUCGCGUCGGCUGUGAAAACUCGGGGCUCAACCCCGAGCCUGCAGUCGAUACGGGCAGACUAGAGUGCUGUAGGGGAGACUGGAAUUCCUGGUGUAGCGGUGAAAUGCGCAGAUAUCAGGAGGAACACCGGUGGCGAAGGCGGGUCUCUGGGCAGUAACUGACGCUGAGGAGCGAAAGCGUGGGGAGCAAACAGG